UUUGUUUUAUUUUGUGGGUUUUUUUUUGUUUGGUUGGUUUUUUGUUUCUGAUUUGUUUGUUCUCUUCUUGAAACUCACCCCCGUGUCCUCCCCCAGCCACCCCCCACCAGGAAAGUGCUCCUGUUCAAUUAGUCUUUGAGGUUAGGUUGCCUUCGCUGGAGUACAUGCUACUCCUGUCUCCUGGGAGUCCCACUGUGGAUGGUGGUGGUAUUCAGAGUAACUUCUUGGAGCAGCUGACCAAGGCUUAGUAACUUCAGUAUAUUGUGUAAAACUGCUUUUGAAAAAGAAAAAAAACCCAUAUGCAUGUCAUGUGCAUGAGUAUCAGUAGUUUUUAAUAUUCCCGUUGAUGUCCAAUUUACUGUACAUCAUCAAUGGCUGUUUUUAUAUAUAUAUCAUUGUGUAAAUUAAUAUAACACAUCAUAUGCUGUAAUAAACAGUCUGUUUUAAUACUUUUUAGAAGUUUGUUACAUUGGUACAGACCCAGUCAAUGGUUUUAUGUUGGCUUUGGCACCACUUAGGUAUCUGUGAUGUGACCUGUUAACGUUCCUUGCAUUUAGCCAUGCAGGAAACAGAGCAAGUUUAAAAUGUUGCUGUGAAUGUGACUUGUUCUUGGAGGGAACUGGAUUGUCAUGGAUCCUCUUGUUCUUUCUGUAACUUGCAUCAUUUUUGAGGACAAGGUGAGAUAGAGUUGCUAUAGGCAUCUUCAGGUUGUUGCUUAUGGGCAGCUCAUGAUGUGGAACAGAUAGAAAUGUUGUAUUAAUCUUCAUUGCUGUCAGGGUGCUUGCACUUUGGUUGGUACAACGCAGAGGCAGAUGGCAGGCUUCUGUAACCAGAUAGAUCUGUGUAAUGCAAAGGGUGCCCCCCCUGAAAUGUCCAGUAAAUGAAUCCCUAAGAACUGUGUGCUCUGGGAGCUGGGCUGGGUGGAGGAGAGCAUAGACUUGCUGUCCUUGGUGCUCUCUUUAGAUGUGGUAGCUGACUGUGUAACAACCCUAACAAGGUUAUGGAAAGAAGUGACAAUUGUGUCACCCACUGGUCUUUAUCUCAGUUUCUUUGUUUCCAUAGGACAGGAGGUGAGUCCGCCAGCACAGGAGAAAGGAGCUAACCCUAGACAGCACUGCUUCCCUUCACAGCAACAGCAUUGACAUUGCCUGGGGGGAGGCUGGAGGUUUAUGCCAGGCAUGACUGAUGGAGCAGGCUCAGAGGUUGGGCUGGUUUCUGCAGGUUCAUCUGCUCUGGCAUCUGUGAAGCAGUGGCCAUGCAACUGGUGUGGAUGCUGUGACUGUAGGAAUUUCAGGGACAUACGUGCAGGCUGUCUGUUCUAUAGCAGGGUCUGAGCAGACACCUUCCUUUGUGGUUCCUCUGUCUUUUCUGCUGUCACCCACCUGGAAGGCAGAGCAGUUUUCUUCUCAGGUUUCCUUGCGUUGCAAAUGUAGGAAGAGGUCCACUCAGAAUUAAAUUUCUCUGGGAGCAGCUUCUGAGAAAGUGGAAACACUUUUUCUAAGUGGCAGAUUUUAUUUUUUUUAAUCUGCAGUAUAGUAAAUCCAUAUCUAUAAAAUGUCCCUCUCAGUUUUCCCCUUUUUUGUUAGAGGAAUGCCAAUUUCUGUAAGGGAUUUUGAAGCAUGGUCACAAGGUUCUGGAUUCAGUGACCCAGAUAGUCCUUGCACUUCCAUCUCCCAUGAUGACAGGACAAGCUGUAACUCACCUUAAUCUGGUCGCAACUCUCCCAUUGUUUUACCCGUGGAAGGGUAGCUUAUUUAUAUAUAUCUAUCUAUAUAUAUACAUGUACAAAAAUUUUAUAUGUUGAUGUAGAAUGAUUCAUCUGGAAAUUAGUGGACAAUGGCUGCCACUGCAGAGAUUUUAAACAUGUAAUCACUAAGGUUAAGCAGCAGCUUAAUGUAUUCCUGUUAAUAAUUGAUGGGUGUCAUAUCAAAAGGAGGGAAUGUCAAGAAGCUUGUUGAAACUAGUUGUUUCUUUCCUAGAAUAUCUCUUAAUCAUCCCACAUCAUCUCUCCUUGAGUGAGAAAAACACGUGCAAAUCCCUGUAAAUCUCCUCAAAGGUGUAGUAGAAUAGCAGAGGAUCUUCAGACAUGCACUCUGCCUCUCUAGCUAUAAAGGAGCCACUGGUGAGAAGACAAACUAACCAGUGGCUUUGGGAUGAUGAGUUUUCAGAAGUGAGCUGCUGAACAGUUACUUUUUAGGUAACUGAUUAAAAAUAGAUGAUAAAAUAAUCACCUAAUAUCGCUAAGACUGUUACCAGCUGGAACAACUCUAUUCUGCGUUACUCUUGUUGAAGAAUAGACAGGGAAAUGGGCUGAUCCUAUUGCCCUCUUAAUUGCAUUUGAGUCUUUCCAGUUUGGGGAAGGAAUUUUCCUUUUCCUACAUGAUUGAGGAAACAUCCAGAAUCCUUUAAAUAGGCCCAGGUUUUUCUCUCUUUCCUUCCCCUCCCCCCUCCCCCCCCCCUUUUUUUUUUUCUCUUAAUAAAAGGUAUUACAGUGCUUGAAAAGUACUUGGUAUAGUCCAAACACACAACACACAUUCUCUUCUCCGGUUCUGAUUUCGGAAACACAUCUAAGUUUUUGUAACAUUAGGUUGAAAAACAUCUGCUAAUCUUGGAGACCAGUUAAGUAUCUGGCACUUGUUUAAAGCUACCUGGCUUUCUAGCUCCACAGCCUUGAGUCCUUGCCAGUGCAUUUUUUAUACUGUUCAUGUUUUAAUUAUCCCCAGUGUUUAUGGUAGGUUUUGGAAGUUUGAAGUGUGAACAUUUCAUUGCACUGGGGCCUAUCUCAAGGUGGGGGCAGCUUGUGGAGGGAAGGUUUGGGAUUAGCUGCCCCUGUGCUCCAUAUAUAGCUGAGUACAGGAAAGUACAGAAGCACAUGCUUAACAUAAAGAGUAAGAGCAGACUCCCUUUUGCUGGGUUCCCUGUGAUUCAGGUUAUAUGGUGUUGCUGCACAACUCUGAAGUACCAUCUCUCCCACUGCAGGAAUCAGCGGCAUGCAUGCCCUGAAGUGCUGUCACCUGAAAGGGAUGAGGGUAUCACUGGGUGGUUUGCCUUCCAGCAGGUUUUUUGGGUCUGCCUUCUGCUCCCUAACCCCAGCCACCAGCUGUGGGUCAGCAGAUAACGAAGCAAGCUGUGUCUUGUGCAUGUGUGGGGUCAGAGAGAAGCCCUGGCAUUGUGCCUAGAUGUCCCAGCUACGUGGGGCCCCUGUUGUGGACCUCACACUUGUCAUGAGAAAUUUGAUGUGCCAGUGGUGCAAGAGUCUGUACAGCUGUGUCUGAAGGAAGGUGGGAAUGAAGAAUCCCAUAUACAUGGAGUGGUCUGAUCCUGAUUCAUCUGUAUUUUCAGGAGAGGCUCAAAGAGGAGGUGUUUCAGUCUAAUGCCUAGGUCAGUAAGUUCGACUAGGCUAAGAUCACCUCAUUUCUUCCAGUACUGGUUUAAAUGAUCAAGGCCUCUAUCAGGACUGCCAGUGGCUGAGGUGCUUCAACCAUCUGACCAAGUCCUGCAAGUACUUUACUGGGAGAAGUGAUAAGCUUCAGUCCCCUAGGUCUGUUUUGACCUUCCAGCACAAACCCUUACAUAGAGAUUGAAGGUCCCAGCCCUUUGCAGCUUUUCCAGUCCUGUGGCUUCAGAGGGAAUCUGUCCUUCCCUUACAAGUUUUCUAGGUUUAUUCUGGCUUAGGGUUUAUCCUGGAUAAGGAUUUGCAACAGAUUCUCCACGACGGAGUGUUGUGCCUUCACUAAGCCCAAAUCUAUGUUUGUUGGCCCAGAGAAAGUUCAGGCACUUCUCAGGGGGCAGCCAGCAAAGCCGUCGAGGGACCUGCAUCCCUUUCUGCCACAAUGGACAAUGAAGGCUUUUGUUAGUUGUGAUCACUACUGAGCAAAUGGUUCACCACCAUGGGUACAGCUCUCCCUCAGCUUGAGACUUCUUGCAGGACGGGGGGAACAAGCACAUGAAUAUUUUGAGGAAACACAAACAUCUAAAGACAUUUUUAAUAACUUCAACACCUAAUGCGUACAUUUGGAGUAGCCAACAGUAACACAUACAACUGAGCUGCUAGUACAAAAACCAAAACCAGUCUCAAGUCUGCAGUGUCCUGUCCACAGUACAGAGAGGGUACUGCUGACCAAUGGAGGCAGUUCAUAAACUUGGUCCAUCUUUCAAACUUGCUUUUCUUCUGAAUUUCUUUGAACCUCCAAGGAAUUGUGUUGAGGCUCCUUGCAUGGCAUGAUGUUUCUUUCUGUAACUAAACAUUAUAGAUGGAGGUCUAUAGUGAGAAAGAAUUGCUCUGGGGUUUAAAAAGCCCCCAGUGCUGGAAUGAGGACACAUGGAUACAAAUGAUCAAUCCAUUUAAAAGGGAUAAUAGAAAGAUAGAAAGUGUGUUUUACAGCAGGGAAUUUGCUGCCACAGGAAAUAGCGAGGCAGACAUAAUAUCAGCAAGUUCAAAGGGGUUAGAGUAGGUAGGGAAGGAUGUGUGCUCUACCAUUCCCAGGCAGUGACUGUGGAUGCUAGGAGUGUGAGGAGAAAGGACCACAAAUAGUGGCCAGGCUUGCGUGCGCCCCUUAAGGGUUGUCUUUUCCUGCAACUGCUGAAGCACCAGUAGCUGGAGGAAAUGCACCAUCCUGCUGACCCAGUGGGCCAUUUGCUAUGUUCCUGUGAUCUCGGUGUAGCUGAUGGGAGUUGUCUAUGCAAUUGAGUUCACUCUUUAUUAGUCUUUUGUUCUCCCAACUGCUGCUGAAGAAGAGUUUUGCAUUGCUUUGCAAAGAAGUUCACUUUGCACAUUUGGCUGAUGGUGGCAUGCAUUUGUUCAAACUGUGGAGGUGUUUCUGAUCACUCUUGUCUGAUGGAAGAAUAAUUCCAUCUACCUUUUCACAUGGGCAGUCUGUGAUGAAGUGCUCUGUUGCAGUGAGUUUUGUCCCCCUGUAAUGCAAACACUGUUACUAAUAUAUAAUCCAUGUAUUAGUCUACCAUGGGAGUCACUGUUGGGCAGCAAUUUUACAUCCUACAGUUACUUCUAAACUGCAGGAAAACUUGUUGACCUCCAUGCCAAACGAACUGACCUAGUGACAGAGUGCAUCUACUGCGCAUUGCCUUAGGACUCUGCUGUCCUUGGAGUUUUUCUCUUCCUCUGUGUCUACAUUUGUUCUUUUUUUUUUUGAGCAAUAGAGCAGUCUGGAAGCAAGUCCUGUGGUCUUCUCUACUUCUGCUGAUUUUGGACAGCAGAGGAGUUUUGGUGCAUGCUAGCUAGAUGACUUUGGGAUGCCAGCACAAAUGGUCCACUCCAGGGACACAGAAAAUGUGCUUCUGCCUGGACAGGUACAUGGGGGUCUGAACCAGUGCUGACUCCCUAGAAUAGCUUCCUAUCAAAAAAUGUGAACAAGUUUGAUCCAAAUGACAUUGAGGACCGGACUAAAUCUAGGCUGAAGUAAACACUUGAACUGUGUACACUGUAUUUGUGGGGACCUCAGUUUGGACCUGCUCCCUUUGUGCUGAAUGACUUGUUAAUGUAAACAGACAUAAACAGAACCUCUCUUUCAGUUAAUGGCCUUUGUUUCCAUGCUGUAUUCUUUUAAGAUCAAUAAAGUAUAUUAAUAUUAAUAACUUGAUUUUACUGAGCCAAGCUCUGAAAAUCUGGCUUUUAUUCUUUUAAAAGGAGUUGGAAGUCCUAGAAACUAAGAUUUUCAUGACAAUACUGAAGGAAAAUCUGUAUGAUUUGGACACUGACCUUAUGAUGUAAUGGCUUUGUAAGCAAAUUAAGUGUUUUCUCCCCAUAAAAGUUCAAGUCUUUUGUGGUCAAGGGCAGGAAGCUGGAAAACUUGCAACCUGUUGCAAAAUGUGUUACCUGUGUCUCCUUACAUUCUGUGAGCCUUGUGUCUUCAGAAAUGAGAUUUUCAUGAGGAGGAGAGGAAGCCUGAGGUCCAGGGAGGAGAAGAAUCUAAUCAAUCUUCAUCUCUGAAGUACCCGUGCAGUAAGUCAGUCCUCAAUGCUGCAUCAUGUUCUGUAUCUCCCAGUGCAGGGCAAAGGCUGGGAAAGAAGUGGAGCAGGAAAUCCAUUGGGUUUGAUAAGAGAGCAGUCUGUAGAUCCUGUUGGAGCAGCUUGCAAAGGCUGUAGCACUAACCACAGGAGCAGUGCCUGACUGCGACGUGUGAGCAGCCAUCUCACCUGGUGGUCAGUGAGGUCAAGGGUAGUUUUGGGUAUUGACCUGGAUAUCACAGUGUCUGCUGUCACUCAAGCCACCUUCGUGCCUCCAGGCCACAGCAGACAGCAUGUUCAUCCUGGUAAGUGUUUCCUUUGCUGCUUUUUAAAUCUUCAUGAAACACAUAUUGGCUUAUCAUUAAAAGCACAAGCACUGAAUGAAACUGAACUUCUGUCUUGUUUCUCCUGUCAAACACCUCAUGUUAGUGCUUUCUUUGAUGUUCGGUUGCCUGGAAGGAAGAGAACCUAUACCCUUCUCAUCUGCAACAUAUGAGUUUUUCACAGGUGCCUUCUGAGUGAUGUGGAACAACACACUGGGGCAACACACCGCUCUGUUUAACACUGUGCAGGACAUACGGAAGCAACCCUGUAUCUGCACAAUCCACAGCUACCCCGAGAUAUUUUUCAGACAGCGAUAUCGGGACUGGGAGGUUUGGAUCUGACUCAACCCCCUUGAAGUCCAUCACUACUUAGGGUGAAGAUGUUCCUGCAGGGAGAGGAGGAAGCAUGCUCAGAAAUGUUUAUUAUUACUGUUAAAUGUCAAAUUCCUUUUUUUCCCCUCCCCUGCCAUGGAGAUAGUGAUCUCUACUGUAGUCCCUGCUGCUUUCUUUUUCCUGUGUUGAUCUACAUUAAGACUUGCUGCACUUCAAAGAUGGUCUUAGCCCUAAGAGAGGCUUUUGUUGCUGACCUAUAGGAUUUUGAUUCAGAGUAUGUAUCUUCCCCUGGGCCUGUUGCAGAUGCCCACCGUCACCCUAGGUAGGUAGUUCGGGCUCACUUACACACUAAUGUGGGCACUCCAGGCCUUCCUCCCUUCUCUCUUCUUUGCCAUUACAGUGGGAUAUUUUAACUUUCUUCCUCUGUCCUAUUGACUCUCCUCUGAAGUCAUCCAGGUGUGGGGUGUUCCUCAUAACUUCAGAGCAGAGCACUUAUGUCUUUGUUCUAAGUAAACUUUGUGGAUCCAUUAUAAAAUAGGACAUAUGAAAUGAAUUUCACAUUUGAAAAAAAAAGUUUUUCUUAUAUUUCUCCCCUUUAUGAACUUCUCAACACCAGUGUCAUAAUAUGAACAGGAAACACAGCAAAAGAAGUGAAAAUAAUAAAUCCCCAUCCGUACUGUA